GUGGGGAAUUUUGGACAAUGGGCGAAAGCCUGAUCCAGCAAUGCCGCGUGUGUGAAGAAGGCCUUCGGGUUGUAAAGCACUUUUGUCCGGAAAGAAAUCCUUUGGGUUAAUACCUCGGAGGGAUGACGGUACCGGAAGAAUAAGGACCGGCUAACUACGUGCCAGCAGCCGCGGUAAUACGUAGGGUCCGAGCGUUAAUCGGAAUUACUGGGCGUAAAGCGUGCGCAGGCGGUUUUGUAAGACAGAUGUGAAAUCCCCGGGCUUAACCUGGGAAUUGCAUUUGUGACUGCAAGGCUAGAGUGUGUCAGAGGGGGUAGAAUUCCACGUGUAGCAGUGAAAUGCGUAGAGAUGUGGAGGAAUACCGAUGGCGAAGGCAGCCCCCUGGGAUAACACUGACGCUCAUGCACGAAAGCGUGGGUAGCAAACAGGAUUAGAUACCCGGGUAGUCC
rnacentral:rRNA from 1 species